UUGGAUGAUUUCUAUCGGGAAAAGGAUGAAAUUAGGGUUUCGCGUUUUUGUAUUUUGAUUUUUUCUGUUUCGAUUUUUCCAUCUUUAGAUUUUUAGGGAUUUUUUCGUUUUGUAUCGGUUUAUUAAACCGCGAUUUAGACCGGUUUUGGACCGGUUUUCGUUUAAAAAAAUUGCUGACGUGUCAAAAUUUUAAUUUAAAUUGCUGACCUAUAUGUGCUGACAACAACAAUUUGAGUUCGUGUGAAAAAUUGGUCAAAGUGGUCAAUGAUUUUAUAGACUAUAUGUUGGAGGUUUUUUCUAAUUGCAAGUUGUAAAUUUGGUAUUACAAGUUUAAGUUUUUUUUUUCAAGUUCAAGGUUUUUCGGAUUUUACUUUUUUUUUAAUAAAAAAAGUUUUCCCUCUUCUUUGACAAAUCAAGCACUGAUUUAGGCGGGAAAAUCCUCUCCCCUCAACUUUUCUACUUCCCUAAACCGCGCAUAGAGCCUUUCUCGCCGCCGUUUCUCGUGCUGUGAAGAACCGAACAUCGCCGGCAGCAACUGGGAGGUUGGGGACAUUCUGAGACUUCUAUAGCUACUGCGACUGGAAAUGCCACCAAGAAAAAAGUUGGAAGUCUUCAGCCUCGAAAUCAAGCAAAGUUUCUUCAGCUGAUCAUCCGUCGCAACCUUCAAAGUUUGGCAUCCAGCAGUUGUUCCUUCGUCAUUUUAAAAACUCCCAAUCCACAUCCUCAUUUCCUAGCUCCAGUAUUGCUUCUGGAAAUGAAGUUUUGGCACCGCAAAACCCUCCCGACAUGCUGGAUCGGCAAGCUGAUAAUGUGGAAGAGUCAUCGCAUGAGGUCUCAAAAACCUUCAAACAUUUCAAAUUCUCUCCUGGAACGGUGAUUGCUUCUGCUAUCCCACUUUCAAUUAGUUUCCGUAUUUACCUUAUUGGAUAUCGUAGCUUUAGUCCCUUAUUGGUUCUGGAAUUUUAAUGCGUUCAAUUCUUUCA